CUCUCUCUUCCCAAACGAGGAGAGCUUAAUUGAAGUAGUAAUCAUAAGAGCGACGAUUUUAAAACCUUAUCACCGGUGAAGAAGGCGUUCGCUUCACCUCCUCCCUCCUUUCCGGGAAACAGACGACACAGAGGAUAGAUAGUGUAGAGAGAGAGGAACCAGAGAUGAUGGGUUGCCUUAUCCCGAGUGCGACACCAGUGGACACAGCAUGCGCCUGCUUUGUUCGGCAGAGAAUGGUAGCAUCGCUACCUAAAACCCAACUUGUUUCUUUCUCUAGUGCUGUUCCCCAAUUUCAUCAAUGGGAGAGGAGAGAGAGAAGUAGAACAUGGCCUUCUCUCUCUAUGUAUGCUGCUGUUGCGGUGCCUGUAAUGGGGGGCAGGCUGUGGGCUGUGGAGGCUGUUACUGAUACGGUGGAAACACCAACUUCCCAAGAAGAAGGAGAGGAGGAAGAUGAUGGUGAAGAAGGAGAAGGUGCUUCUCUUCCCACUCCUCCCACUAAGCUGAAGACGGGGAAGGCCGCAUUGCCACUCAAAAGAGAUAGACGUCGGUCCAAAAGAUUCCUAGAGAUUCAGAAAUUGAGAGAGAAUAAGCAGGAAUAUGACUUGAGAACUGCUAUAUCCCUCCUUAAGAAGACUGCAAACACAAAAUUUGUAGAGACUACUGAAGCUCAUUUCCGGCUCAACAUUGAUCCCAAAUACAAUGACCAACAACUCAGAGCAACAGUGAGUUUGCCAAAGGGCACUGGUCAGACUGUUAGGAUUGCUGUUCUUACCCAAGGAGAGAAGUUUGAUGAAGCAAAAAAUGCGGGAGCUGAUAUAGUUGGUGGAGAAGAAUUGAUCCAGCAGAUAAAAGGUGGCUUUAUGGAGUUUGAUAAAUUGAUUGCUUCUCCGGACAUGAUGCCCAAGGUUGCUAGUUUGGGUAAACUUCUUGGACCACGGGGGCUAAUGCCCAAUCCCAAGGCUGGAACUGUUUCAACUAACAUACCUCAGGCUAUAGCAGAAUUCAAGAAAGGGAAAGUUGAAUACCGAGCCGAUAAGACGGGGAUUGUUCACCUUCCUUUUGGGAAGGUUGAGUUUUCUGAAGAAGAUCUUCUCAUAAACUUGAUGGCCGCAAUUAAGUCAAUAGAAGCAAACAAGCCCAGUGGUGCCAAGGGAGUUUACUGGAAAAGUGCUCAUAUAUGUUCAUCAAUGGGCCCUUCCAUUCGAUUGAAUGUUAAGGAGAUGGUUGACUACAAACUUGCAGGAAAUGUGUGAUGUCAGUCAUUUCUUUAUCUAUCAUAUCUGCCUACUAACAUGUAAAUCAGGGACUUCAUUUUGUAUUAUAUGUGAGUGGGAAGGAAGUUGGCCAAGGACUUGCAUUUCUCUAGAUAUUGUAUCUCCACUUAAGCAUAGUUGCAUGCCAAUGAAGAGGGAGCAUCCUCUCUGCCUUCAAACAAAUUUUUUUUGGGUGAGAAUGGAGUCUAAGAAUGGAGCCCCCACACCCUUUAGUGAGAAUGGAGUCCAAGACUUCAUCAUGUGGCUCGGCCCUACUACUGCCAAGGCUCCAGCCCAAUCUCCUCUUCCUUCAAACAUUAGCAUUUGUAAACCUUGCGUUUGUAAAUGUAUGUGCUACCAUUUUAUAGUAGGGUCCGUCUGUAGAUAUUUGUGCAAAUUUAAGUGUUUGGAAGUGGUUUCUACAAUGUAUACCCUAGAAGUGAAAUUGGGUUACUAUUUAAACCAAUUUAAGUCCCCCUGGUUUAGAACCUUGUAUAAAGAGAAAUAUAGGAAUAAGCAAAGAGGGGAGGUUACAUGCUCCCUAUGUUCAGGUAUUA